UGAAAUCUGUUGGGUGAAUUGAAGAGCUACUAUUUCUUUGGAGUAUGUAGGAAUGUUAGAUUUAUGUCUUCAAGAAAGAAGAAAGACAAGGAACUAUUGAAAUCUGUUGGGUGAAUUGAAGCGCUACUAUUUCUUUGGAGGUUGUAGGAAGCUAGCUUUAUGUUCUCAACAAAUCUGAAAGAUUUUGGAAAUGGUAGAGUUUUCAAGUAUUUGGCGAGGGACAUUGGUACUGGAGAGUUUAACAAGUACAUUUUUGUGUGAUAUUGGUAUGUGACUUCCUAAUGACUUGUGAUGAUUUGUUUUAAAACUUUAAGAAACCUUCGAACUUACUGGUUAGAAAAGUUUUGUGGUGUUCCAUUGAAGAGAUGAAUUAAUCGGAAUUUCCCGAUGAGAAGCCAUCAAUAGAACAAAGAGGAAACGGAUGGUGUGUAUGUGGAUAAAAAUAGAGCCUGGAUUUCUGAGCUCUUUUGUUAGAGAACAAUAUAAAAGUUAUAACCAAUGGACACAAUUGGUGGCAAAGUAAUCAACAUAACUAUUUCUUUACGACUAUAUAUAAUGGCUUGUUGCUCAUUGAUUAUCGAUUAGAUGGUCCUAUAAGGACUUUUAGAACCUUUAUUGAAUACUUAAGUAAGAUAAUAUUACAUAAGUAACAUCAAAAACAAAACUAAUAAGUCAGAUUUUUCUAUGUUUUGUAAUAAAUAACUAAGUAACAGAAAAAAACACACAUUUAUUCCUUUGGAAAUAUUCUUAUUGUAUGCAACUAUCAAAUGCAUGCUAUGUGUUUAACCGUCAGAUAUUAUUUAAAGAAUAAUUGUUACUGACUUAGAAUAAUAAUAAUGGAAAUAAUUGACAAAUUAUUGCAUGGAAUUCUUAUGAGCUGCAUUGCUAAUUACUUGUUGUUUUAAUUCAUCAGUAUUAAAAUCAACUGUGUUUUGAUUCGUGUCUUAUUGUUCAUGGCAAUCACCUCAUCAAUUUAAAACAAAUCCUGUUUUCUGAACAUUCAUUAUGGAUUGUUUAUUAUCCUUUAAUGAUUAGCAUGAAAAGAUUCGAAAUCUAAAAAAAAAACUAAGACAUCAUUUUAAAUUAUAAUUGAACUAUUAGAAGAUACUAGAAAACGAAUGCCUUGCCAAAGGCCCAGGCAUUUAUUUAAACUGAUAUUAAGUAUUUUUUCAUAGCGAACUAUAAAGAGGUACCUUAGCCUAUUCAGUCUAGAUUUAGAUACCAGUAACACUUUUGAAGAUUUUUAAAAUGGAGGGGAAUCUAUCCAGAGCUAGUCUUGUGGUGUAUCAGGUGUACAAAACACCUCCAAUGCUAUCACUUUUAAAAGGUUGUUUAUUUUAAUUUAUUUCUGCAUUUAUUAGCAUCACUAAAUUCACUUUGAGGAUCUUCCACCAGUAGCUUCCAAUUUUCACUAUUUAGUUGCCUUCAGUGAUCUUCAAUUAAGCAUCUUGAACAUUUUAUUGUCGUACUUGCUUCGGUUUAUCGAACACUGCAUUCUUCCUCUUUUUUUUUUUUUUUUU